rnacentral:rRNA from 1 species
GACGAACGCUGGCGGCGUGCCUAAUACAUGCAAGUUGAGCGCUGAAGGUUGGUACUUGUACCGACUGGAUGAGCAGCGAACGGGUGAGUAACGCGUGGGGAAUCUGCCUUUGAGCGGGGGACAACAUUUGGAAACGAAUGCUAAUACCGCAUAAAAACUUUAAACACAAGUUUUAAGUUUGAAAGAUGCAAUUGCAUCACUCAAAGAUGAUCCCGCGUUGUAUUAGCUAGUUGGUGAGGUAAAGGCUCACCAAGGCGAUGAUACAUAGCCGACCUGAGAGGGUGGUCGGCCACAGUGGGACUGAGACACGGCCCAAACUCCUACGGGAGGCAGCAGGAGGGAAUCUUCGGCAAUGGACGAAAGUCUGACCGAGCAACGCCGCGUGAGUGAAGAAGGUUUUCGGAUCGUAAAACUCUGUUGGUAGAGAAGAACGUUGGUGAGAGUGGAAAGCUCAUCAAGUGACGGUAACUACCCAGAAAGGGACGGCUAACUACGUG